AGCGCGGGCUGGAAGUGAGCGUUGAGAACUUGCAGGCUAGUCCCUGGGCCGCUGCGAGGGCUGGAGGAGCUACUCAAAGACGCCCGCUAAAUGUUAACAGCGCUCAACACUGCUCCUUCAAACGCCUCCCCGGCCUUGUCAGCUUGACACGCGCGGCGGGUCGGAGGCUCACUGGACCAGAAACUUGUCUGGCAGGACGGACUGGUUGGCCCCGCGGCAUUCCAGCCCAGUGUCAUCACCUUGAAAACAGGAGAUGCUUUUGCCUCACUGGGCGUCCAGAGGUGCGUCGGCCAACAAUUCCGAUCACAACCGCAGCGCCGUCUCCCAGAAACUCAGUACUGAAUCUCACAAAGGUCACCACCUAGGAUCCCAACACAGUGUGAGAUGCUAUGGGACGCCGUUGCCCUCCAGCUAGUCUCUGAGCAGUGGUGGACCUUGGGCUGCCAAAGCGGGAACAGGAAGGGCACAAGAUAUGCAUUAAUUCUAGUCUUAAUCCUGUUAGAAGGUGAUUAGUUUUCUUGACAUGUAUCCGCCACCCGGUCAUUACUGACAAGCUAACAAAUGAAAAAAAAAAAAAGAAACAAAGAGAAAAAAGAAAAAAGGCGGGCCUUCACACAGGACAAGGUUCAGGAGAGCACCCUUAUAGAAAUAGAUCAACUAUGUAAAUUCCUCAAGGUCUUUACUGACACGGUAAAAGUAAGUAAAGUGUUGAAAAUUUACUAACAAAUGAGCAAAACCAAAAGUCAAAGUAGGAUGCAUUGAAAAGCAGAACACAAAGACAUCAUUUUACCUCACCAAACAGAUCUUUGAAGCUGUGCGGUUAGUUUGGGUUGCACGUUUUCAAAAGGAUGUCGAGAAACCAUAAUUUGUUCCUUAUGGGGUGGAUAACUGAAAUGACAGAGAAGAUUUGAAAAUAAGUCCCUACUGAACAGAGAACUAUGGGGUGACUACAUUAAUAAAUUGUCCAAUUGUUUGGAGGAUCGGAAAUGAAGGAGUGCUUGAUAGUGAAGAAGAUAAUAAGAAUAAUGGCUGAAGAAGCUAGUGAAGCCAGUAGUAGGGUUUCCGUCUCUGGCUACUACCCUACCCUGCAUAAAGGAUUAGAAGUGCUCCAUUCUAACUCUCUGGAAGUCAAGAAGCCUGAGUUCUACUGCUGCCAAUGCCACUAAUUGCAUGGCCUUGAACAGAAUAUUUAAGAGGCUACAAGAAAUUGAAUCAACAUAUAUUGCUGAGCAGCUGCAUGUGGGAAAGGAGGGGUGAGGAAUUAAGAAACGUAGGCACGUUUUUGACUUGGGUGGCCAGGUGGCUGGUGUUGUCAUUCCUGGAGACUGGGACUACAGGAGGAGAAAUAGGGUUGAAGGAAGAUGGAAGAGAAAAAAUGAGAUGCCUGGUGUUGAUCUAUGACAGUUAAUCUGACAGACAAAAAUCACUUACCCCUUGGAGCUUAUAUUCUUGGAAAGGUGGAGAGAGGAAAGACAGACAAUAAACAAAUGAAUAUAUAAAAUGUUAGCUGAGUCUCGCUUUUGUUGCCCAGGCUGGAGUACAAUGGCCUGAUAUCUGCUCACCGCAAUUUCCGCCUCCCGGGUUCAAGCGAUUCUCCUGCCUCAGCCUCCCGAGUAGCUAGGAUUACAGGUGGUCUAGUAUUUUGGUGACUGAUGGGACAUGAAGGAUGAUAGAAAUAGAUGUGGCAAAGAUGACUCCAAGGCUUUGAUCUCGGGGACUACUAGAGAAUGACUGUGUUUGCCAACAGCAGGGAAAUUGAAAAGAGUUGCUCAUUCCUCCCAACCCCCAAAGGAAUUAGCAGCUGUGGGAGCUGAGAAUGUUUUUUGGACAUGGAAGUUUGGAGAGGAUAAUGCAACACUGAAGUAAACACAUUCAGGUCGUGGGAGUUGUGUGAGACUGUGGUACAAGUGGAGAAACGAAGACUGCAGAUAGAAGACUUAGGAAUUGCCAGCAUAGAGGUGGGGGUGAAGCAGCAACUGGAAACUAUUAUUCAAAGAAUGAGAGUGCAAAGGGCUGACUGAGUGGGGCAGGGAGAAGUGUGGGAAUCCAGGAAUGGUAAUAAGC